GGGCGAAUGGUUUAGUGGUAUAAUACUCCCUUAGCAUAAGUGCUAAGAUUGGGAGUGGUCCAGGGUUCGAUUCCCUGUUCGUCCA